GUGGGCUGGCUCUUGCUGUUGCUGCUGCUGCUGCUGCUGAUGUUGCUGGAGGAGGAACAAGGAUCCAAGCCGAGAAGGGGCUGAGCCACUGAUGUUGGCCCAAUAUACCUAGGAGGGACGAAUGAGGAAAGAAGGGGACCCUGAAUCUUGUCCCAGAGGACAGGAGAGGACUUCAGGGAUGAGUGGAGAAGAAAUCGUCCCAGUAGCAUCAGGGGACAUUGGUUUAUGACUGGUCACGCUGAAACCUGAUGAAAGAAAACCAAGUCGAAUUGGAGAUUUGCAUCUAUCUGGACCUGCAGUUUUAGAAAGUUAUAAAGUGGUAAAGUCAGCUGGUGAACUCAGGCUAUCGGUAACAAGGCACAGUGAAGGAGAGACAUGAGAGGAGCCACUUUCACCUUGAUGAGUUGCCCAGGCCUUGGGGAAGUUACUUUUGAGUGACAACUUCCGGAAUUUCAUAGCCAGCAAGG